CCUCAAUUCGCGAAAAUUUGACAGUUGUCCGGAUCUGUGAAUUUCCGGCCAGACAGACUAGCUACCGGAAAAGUCUCCGAAUUGGAUCGAGGUUUUGGCUACCCCACGAUUGUCAGGCAUCCCGAGCGCGUUCCCGAAGUCGGAAUCGGCAAAGGUGAGCCGGGACAGCCUUCUUCCUCCGCCCAGCCGCCACAGUAAUUUGUCGUCAAGUUUGCCACAGGAGGAUAUUUUGUUCUGGGUUAACCUGCUUUUCUACCUCGCAGGUUGUUUAUCAAUAUUUGUGUAAUUUUAAUUACUCCUAGAAUUUCCGCAUGUGUUAGCAGAAAUUAUUUGAUUAUGG